AUUGAACGCUGGCGGCAUGCCUUACACAUGCAAGUCGAACGGCAGCACGGGUGCUUGCACCCGGUGGCGAGUGGCGAACGGGUGAGUAAUACAUCGGAACGUACCUUAUCGUGGGGGAUAACGCAGCGAAAGCUGUGCUAAUACCGCAUACGCCCGGAGGGGGAAAGCGGGGGAUCGCAAGACCUCGCGCGAUUAGAGCGGCCGAUGCCUGAUUAGCUAGUUGGUGGGGUAAAAGCCCACCAAGGCGACGAUCAGUAGCUGGUCUGAGAGGACGAUCAGCCACACUGGGACUGAGACACGGCCCAGACUCCUACGGGAGGCAGCAGUGGGGAAUUUUGGACAAUGGGGGCAACCCUGAUCCAGCAAUGCCGCGUGAGUGAAGAAGGCCUUCGGGUUGUAAAGCUCUUUUGUCAGGGAAGAAACACCGGCUCUAACACAGUCCGGGAAUGACGGUACCUGAAGAAUAAGCACCGGCUAACUACGUGCCAGCAGCCGCCGUAA
rnacentral:rRNA from 1 species